GGUUAAGCGACUAAGCGUACACGGUGGAUGCCCUGGCAGUCAGAGGCGAUGAAGGACGUGCUAAUCUGCGAUAAGCGUCGGUAAGGUGAUAUGAACCGUUAUAACCGGCGAUUUCCGAAUGGGGAAACCCAGUGUGAUUCGUCACACUAUCAUUAACUGAAUCCAUAGGUUAAUGAGGCGAACCGGGGGAACUGAAACAUCUAAGUACCCCGAGGAAAAGAAAUCAACCGAGAUUCCCCCAGUAGCGGCGAGCGAACGGGGAGGAGCCCAGAGCCUGAAUCAGUGUGUGUGUUAGUGGAAGCGUCUGGAAAGGCGCGCGAUACAGGGUGACAGCCCCGUACACAAAAAUGCACAUGCUGUGAGCUCGAUGAGUAGGGCGGGACACGUGGUAUCCUGUCUGAAUAUGGGGGGACCAUCCUCCAAGGCUAAAUACUCCUGACUGACCGAUAGUGAACCAGUACCGUGAGGGAAAGGCGAAAAGAACCCCGGCGAGGGGAGUGAAAAAGAACCUGAAACCGUGUACGUACAAGCAGUGGGAGCCUCUUAAUGGGGUGACUGCGUACCUUUUGUAUAAUGGGUCAGCGACUUAUAUUCUGUAGCAAGGUUAACCGAAUAGGGGAGCCGAAGGGAAACCGAGUCUUAACUGGGCGUUAAGUUGCAGGGUAUAGACCCGAAACCCGGUGAUCUAGCCAUGGGCAGGUUGAAGGUUGGGUAACACUAACUGGAGGACCGAACCGACUAAUGUUGAAAAAUUAGCGGAUGACUUGUGGCUGGGGGUGAAAGGCCAAUCAAACCGGGAGAUAGCUGGUUCUCCCCGAAAGCUAUUUAGGUAGCGCCUCGUGAAUUCAUCUCCGGGGGUAGAGCACUGUUUCGGCAAGGGGGUCAUCCCGACUUACCAACCCGAUGCAAACUGCGAAUACCGGAGAAUGUUAUCACGGGAGACACACGGCGGGUGCUAACGUCCGUCGUGAAGAGGGAAACAACCCAGACCGCCAGCUAAGGUCCCAAAGUCAUGGUUAAGUGGGAAACGAUGUGGGAAGGCCCAGACAGCCAGGAUGUUGGCUUAGAAGCAGCCAUCAUUUAAAGAAAGCGUAAUAGCUCACUGGUCGAGUCGGCCUGCGCGGAAGAUGUAACGGGGCUAAACCAUGCACCGAAGCUGCGGCAGCGACACUAUGUGUUGUUGGGUAGGGGAGCGUUCUGUAAGCCUGCGAAGGUGUACUGUGAGGUAUGCUGGAGGUAUCAGAAGUGCGAAUGCUGACAUAAGUAACGAUAAAGCGGGUGAAAAGCCCGCUCGCCGGAAGACCAAGGGUUCCUGUCCAACGUUAAUCGGGGCAGGGUGAGUCGACCCCUAAGGCGAGGCCGAAAGGCGUAGUCGAUGGGAAACAGGUUAAUAUUCCUGUACUUGGUGUUACUGCGAAGGGGGGACGGAGAAGGCUAUGUUGGCCGGGCGACGGUUGUCCCGGUUUAAGCGUGUAGGCUGGUUUUCCAGGCAAAUCCGGAAAAUCAAGGCUGAGGCGUGAUGACGAGGCACUACGGUGCUGAAGCAACAAAUGCCCUGCUUCCAGGAAAAGCCUCUAAGCAUCAGGUAACAUCAAAUCGUACCCCAAACCGACACAGGUGGUCAGGUAGAGAAUACCAAGGCGCUUGAGAGAACUCGGGUGAAGGAACUAGGCAAAAUGGUGCCGUAACUUCGGGAGAAGGCACGCUGAUAUGUAGGUGAAGUCCCUCGCGGAUGGAGCUGAAAUCAGUCGAAGAUACCAGCUGGCUGCAACUGUUUAUUAAAAACACAGCACUGUGCAAACACGAAAGUGGACGUAUACGGUGUGACGCCUGCCCGGUGCCGGAAGGUUAAUUGAUGGGGUUAGCGCAAGCGAAGCUCUUGAUCGAAGCCCCGGUAAACGGCGGCCGUAACUAUAACGGUCCUAAGGUAGCGAAAUUCCUUGUCGGGUAAGUUCCGACCUGCACGAAUGGCGUAAUGAUGGCCAGGCUGUCUCCACCCGAGACUCAGUGAAAUUGAACUCGCUGUGAAGAUGCAGUGUACCCGCGGCAAGACGGAAAGACCCCGUGAACCUUUACUAUAGCUUGACACUGAACAUUGAGCCUUGAUGUGUAGGAUAGGUGGGAGGCUUUGAAGUGUGGACGCCAGUCUGCAUGGAGCCGACCUUGAAAUACCACCCUUUAAUGUUUGAUGUUCUAACGUUGGCCCCUGAUCGGGGUUGCGGACAGUGUCUGGUGGGUAGUUUGACUGGGGCGGUCUCCUCCUAAAGAGUAACGGAGGAGCACGAAGGUUGGCUAAUCCUGGUCGGACAUCAGGAGGUUAGUGCAAUGGCAUAAGCCAGCUUGACUGCGAGCGUGACGGCGCGAGCAGGUGCGAAAGCAGGUCAUAGUGAUCCGGUGGUUCUGAAUGGAAGGGCCAUCGCUCAACGGAUAAAAGGUACUCCGGGGAUAACAGGCUGAUACCGCCCAAGAGUUCAUAUCGACGGCGGUGUUUGGCACCUCGAUGUCGGCUCAUCACAUCCUGGGGCUGAAGUAGGUCCCAAGGGUAUGGCUGUUCGCCAUUUAAAGUGGUACGCGAGCUGGGUUUAGAACGUCGUGAGACAGUUCGGUCCCUAUCUGCCGUGGGCGCUGGAGAACUGAGGGGGCUGCUCCUAGUACGAGAGGACCGGAGUGGACGCAUCACUGGUGUUCGGGUUGUCAUGCCAAUGGCACUGCCCGGUAGCUAAAUGCGGAAGAGAUAAGUGCUGAAAGCAUCUAAGCACGAAACUUGCCCCGAGAUGAGUUCUCCCUGACUCCCUGAGAGUCCUGAAGGAACGUUGAAGACGACGACGUUGAUAGGCCGGGUGUGUAAGCGCAGCGAUGCGUUGAGCUAACCGGUACUAAUGAACCGUGAGGCUUAACCUU
rnacentral:rRNA from 1 species